GUGAACGCUGGCGGUAGGCCUAACACAUGCAAGUCGAACGGCAGCACAGUAAGAGCUUGCUCUUACGGGUGGCGAGUGGCGGACGGGUGAGGAAUACAUCGGAAUCUACUUUUUCGUGGGGGAUAACGUAGGGAAACUUACGCUAAUACCGCAUACGACCUACGGGUGAAAGCAGGGGAUCUUCGGACCUUGCGCGAUUGAAUGAGCCGAUGUCGGAUUAGCUAGUUGGCGGGGUAAAGGCCCACCAAGGCGACGAUCCGUAGCUGGUCUGAGAGGAUGAUCAGCCGCACUGGAACUGAGACACGGUCCAGACUCCUACGGGAGGCAGCAGUGGGGAAUAUUGGACAAAGGGCGCAAGCCUGAUCCAGCCAUACCGCGUGGGUGAAGAAGGCCUUCGGGUUGUAAAGCCCUUUUGUUGGGAAAGAAAAGCAGCAGGUUAAUACCCCGCUGUUCUGACGGUACCCAAAGAAUAAGCACCGGCUAACUUCGUG
rnacentral:rRNA from 1 species